UGCCUAAUAGCUCAGUUGGUAAAGCUUGAGGCUUGUGAUCUCAGGGUUGUGGGUUCGAACCCCACGUUGGGCAA